rnacentral:rRNA from 1 species
UACGUAGGGUGCAAGCGUUGCCCGGAUUUAUUGGGCGUAAAGGGCGCGCAGGCGGCUACGCACGUCCGUUGUGAAAUCGCUCGGCUCAACUGGGCGGGGUCGGCGGACACGGCGUAGCUGGAGCAAGCUAGGGGGCAAUGGAAUUCCCGGUGUAGUGGUGGAAUGCGUAGAUAUCAGGAGGAACACCGAUGGCGAAGGCAGGUCUCUGGGCCACUACUGACGCUGAGAAGCGAAAGCAUGGGGAGCGAACAGG